AGCGAGAGGUUGGCACGUGAAUUGCGUGCAUUAAAUACGUGAAGUGUUGAGCUCUCACGCAGGUAAAUACCGCGAGAGGUUGGCACGUGUAUUGCGUGCAGUCAAAUACGUGGAGUGUUCAGCUCUCAGGCAGGUAAAUACGGCGAGAGGUUGGCAUGUGAAUUGCAUGCAUUAAAUACGUGAAGUGUUCAGCUCUCACGCAGGUAAAUACCGCGAGAGGUUGGCACGUUUAUUGCGUGCAGUCAAAUACGUGGAGUGUUCAGCUCUCAGGCAGGUAAAUACGGCGAGAGGUUGGCAAGUGAAUUGCGUGCAGUCAAAUACGUGGAGUGUUCAGCUCUCAGGCAGGUAAAUACGGCGAGAGGUUGGCAUGUGAAUUGCAUGCAGUCAAAUACGUGGAGUGUUCAGCUCUCAUGCAGGUAAAUAGCAUAACAAUAAACUCAUAAGGAGAAUGGUUUGUAUUAUUCUUUACCUUACCUUUAUACAUUCUGAGACAGGUAUACUGUCUUGAUAACAGGCUUAGCAAGAUACUGUAUAAACUGGAUUAGUUUGAAGUGCGCAGUGUGUGUGUGUAUUUUUUAAUAAAUAAUUUUAACAGGUGAAUAUUAACACUCAAAGGCUUAAGAGAUGUCAGAUUUAGUUUUGAAAUUAAAAAGAUUUAAAUUCUUAUGUCAUAUAUUGUUUAGCAUAGGUUUUGAAAUAAUGAUGUCACAAGCAUGUUGAAACCCAGUGUUGCUUGCAAGAACCUGGUCCCGUGGUCCAAUUUAAGGUGACAAUUCAUGGUCAAAGGUCAAAUUGAGUAAUUUUCAGUAACAUGGAAUUUUUAUAACUUGCCAUUCAUGAUCAGCAUUGUGAGAUGGAUGUUCACAUAUGAACAAUUUCCUGAAAAUAUUAGUAUAUCUUUGUGACAAUGGAAUAGUUAGCAGGUGAAACCACUGCCACUUUAGUGCACUUUCCCAUGUUACA